rnacentral:other from 1 species
GCCUGACUGCGGCGUUGGUGACUGCCAACAUUGUUUUAUGAUCUACAAAUCGCUUUAUAUGGGUUUAAUGGCGAUCGGUGGCAGUAAACCGAGCUUGUACUCGGAAACUUUAAACUGAUACUGUUUGAACCCCCCUGGUCUUAAUCCAGGUCUAAGGCUGAGGUAAGACGGCGCUGCGGUGGGCCU